GGCUGUAAGGCUAAUCUGGCUGUGACAUCUGUCACCCCGUUGAUCACCAGGGUUGAUUCGGCCAAUCUGGCUGGCUAAGUGGAUGUCCCCCUCCUCCCUCAGCGAUCCAUGGGUCCCUCCCAAAGCUGUGUGCUAGGUUGAAGAGGAUGGCCUUCCCCCCAGGGUAUACGAGUAGCUGCGCUCUCCUGCUAGAACCUCCAAACAAGAUCUCAAUAAAACACUUACACACUGUGGUCCAAGAACAUUCAAAUAAUAAACCAAAAAGAAACAGAUGUUAAAGAUUGGUCUUCAAAC
ensembl:misc_RNA 7SK 7SK RNA